AAGACCUUGCGCUUUUGGAGCGGCCGAUGUCUGAUUAGCUAGUUGGUGGGGUAAUGGCCUACCAAAGCUUCGAUCAGUAGCUGGUCUGAGAGGACGACCAGCCACACUGGGACUGAGACACGGCCCAGACUCCUACGGGAGGCAGCAGUGGGGAAUUUUGGACAAUGGGCGCAAGCCUGAUCCAGCCAUGCCGCGUGAGUGAAGAAGGCCUUCGGGUUGUAAAGCUCUUUCAGCCGGGAAGAAAAGGCUGCGACGAAUAAUCGUAGCUCAUGACGGUACCGGAAGAAGAAGCACCGGCUAACUACGUGCCAGCAGCCGCGGUAAUACGUAGGGUGCGAGCGUUAAUCGGAAUUACUGGGCGUAAAGCGUGCGCAGGUGGUUUUGUAAGUCAGAUGUGAAAUCCCCGGGCUUAACCUGGGAACU
rnacentral:rRNA from 1 species